rnacentral:rRNA from 1 species
UACGUAGGGUGCAAGCGUUAAUCGGAAUUACUGGGCGUAAAGCGUGCGCAGGCGGUUAUGUAAGACAGGUGUGAAAUCCCCGGGCUUAACCUGGGAAUGGCAUUUGGGACUGCAAGGCUGGAGUGUGGCAGAGGAGACUGGAAUUCCGGGUGUAGUGGUGAAAUGCGUAGAGAUCCGGAGGAAUACCAGAGGCGAAGGCGGCACCCUGGGUCUGACCUGACACUGAUCCGCGACAGCAUGGGGAGCGAACGGG